GGUCCUAUAGUCUAGUGGUUAGGACUUCCGGUUUUGAGAUCCAUAUCAUCUUAAGUCCGGACAGCGCCGGUUCGAACCCGGCUAGGACCU
rnacentral:tRNA from 1 species